CAUAGAUAAAAGAUAGAUCUUGCCAGGUAACGUGCCUGUUGUGGACUUCAACAACUUCAGCUUGUGGCGCAGUUGCUUUUGCCAAAGAAGAGAACUUUUGACGGCGAAAGAGCGUCAGAAAAGCAGACACAAUGUCUGAUCCCAAUCCGAACAUAAACACUGGAGACGCGUACCCGAAGCCGGCCCAGGGGCAAGGACAGGGUGCGCCAGCCCCUGUCCCCCAGCCUCCCGAUCGCGACAGACCGAGGAACCCGCAGUGAUGCUCCAGCUCCACCCGGCGAUGCUGUGGCCUUCCUCCCGUCUUCCAGCACCGUCGUCUGUGGAUCUGGGGCGACUCUCCUCUAGGGUCCCUGAAUUCAAGAAUUAUGCGUGAACUUUAAAAACUUUAGUUACCUAGUCACGUAGGCGAGCACAAGUGUUCGAGUGUGGAUUGAAGUUCCUAUUUUCACCAGUGUUCUUCCAACACCGGAGUCCGGAGGGAUUCUUCACUAGAGUCCCGGAAUUCAAGAGUUAUGUGACAAGUUAAGCUUUGGUUAUACCUAAUCACUUAGGUAACUAAGUUAUUUUCAGAUGUAACUGUUAUAUAUGAACUUGAAUGUGGAUUUUGAGUUACUAUUUUCACCAGUAUUUCAUAAGACGCUUUGUAACUUUCCAUGCAUGACGUGAUAACUGGUAUCACUCAGCGCACUGUGACGGUGGCCUGAAUGAUUGUUAUGAACACGAAAUAUACAACGUGACUUUGUUGUUACCAAACAUCAUAGCGAGAACUGUACAUGUCAGAGUAGCAUCUAUGGAAUGUCAAUGAUGAAAUCAACAUCAGUGUAAUAGACCAAACACGGAGGUGCUAUGAUUUAUCAUAGCACCUUUUGUCUCAGUCUUUUAUGGCAUCAUCAUCGGUUUAGUUUCUAACUCCCUGAAACGUAACAACGCAACACCAGCCACAUAGAAAUACUCAGCACAUGUACAUAGAGUGUCAACAACGCAACUCUAGACUGUUUGUAGCAGGAUCAGGCCCGUCACUAUUGUCAGCAUUGUCAACC